rnacentral:rRNA from 1 species
UACGUAGGAUGCAAGCGUUGUCCGGAUUUACUGGGCGUAAAGCGCGCGCAGGCGGCACUCUAAGUACGUCGUGAAUAUCCCGGCUCAACCGGGAGGUGCGAUGUAGACUAGGGAGCUAGAGGUCGGUAGAGGGGGUGGAAUUGCUGGUGUAGCGGUGAAAUGCGUAGAGAUCAGCAGGAACACCCGUGGCGAAGGCAGGUCUCUGGGCUGACACUGACGCUCAUGCACGAAAGCGUGGGAGCAAACAGG